GUAGAAGGUGGGUGGCUUGGGCUGAGGCAUCCAACCUUCCCUUCCUCUCCCCACAUUCCUUGCUUCCUGGAGGACCCCCCUGUCUUCUCUGCCAGGUCCUGCCUCAGGGAUGCAGAGACUAGCAGCGUCGGGGCAGGAGCCUGAGCCUCCCAGAGGGGAGACAAGGGUGGGAAGGUGGUGGAGGGGCAAGGGGAGGGUGCAUCUGGAGGGGGAGGGGACACACUGGCUCCUCAGCCCUGUCUGGGUGCUCCCCUUGCCUGGGCCAGGUCCCCUAUGGCCCUAGUCCCACCUGGUGCUCUUGGCCUGCAGGGGGCGCCAAGAGCCCAGCUACUGGCUGUGGGCCAGGUCCAUGUUUGGGAGGCCACCGGUGAGGGGACAAGGAGUUGGGCCUCAAGUUGGAUCCUUUCCUGCUCAGACCUAGACCUGGCCUCUUGAAUAAGGGUGGGGUCCCCUAUUCCCUAAAGGGCAUGGGGGCACAGAGCUGGCCCCUGUUCCCUCUGCAUCCCGCCGAUGGGCCAGGUCAGGCUGUACAGGCUCCAGGCUCCUGGUGGAGGGAGGUGUUCAAGGGCAGGGCUUCUCUGGGUAGGGAAUGCCGGCUGGGGAGGCCUGGCUGAGCUACCAGCCCACAGUGUGACCUUGGGCAAGUCCCUGCCUACCCGGAGCUUGGGUCCUCGUGGGGACACUAAACUGGUGGGUCUGUGAGGCCUUUCCCUCUGUCAGAGUGACAGUCCCUCUUCUACAGAUGGGGAUGGAGGUGUCCAAGCCUCAAAGGCCUCAGGACCCCCUGCAUUGAAUGAGAAAUAAAGUAGACCAGGGAACCCCCCACCCCUCUCCCCUAGGCUAGACUCAGUGAGGGGAGGCAGCCUGAAAUAACCAUCCUACGGCUUUAGGGGCAGGCUGCUGGGUGGCCAUGGCCGUGAGUCACUGGGACAGCUUCCAGGAAGAAGCUGAGAACCCUCUUCCGCUGAAGAGUGUGCCUGUCCCCCCCCUCCCCACGGAUGGCACCAGUGCCAUCCCCCAGCCCCUGCCUUCAUCUGGCUCAACAGCUGUCCCCUUCCGUGCAGGAGACACAGCUCCACCCCACCUCGAUUCUCCUGGGUCCCAGAGUCUUGCCUGGGAAGGCCUGGCUGCCAGGACUGGACGUGCAGCUGGGAACAGGGCGGAGAGAGUUGGGACCCCGGGCAUCACAGGCCCUUGCCCGCGCAGCCCGCUUGUUCUGGUGCCCAGGCUCAUUUUAAAGAGGAGCAAACUGAGGCCCCGAGAGGUGGAGGGACUCACCCAAAGUCACACGGCCAGUGAGUGAGUGGCUGGGAGCUCUGUGUCUCCUGUACCCCGGUUGUGGAUCUGCCUUGUUUGACAGCCGUGGGGGCUGACACUACCCUCAAUGUCGUGUCCGGCCCAUGGCCUCCUCAGGGCCCGGCACAGGUUGUGGCACAUAGAAGGUGCUCAAUAAAUGCCUACAGCAUGAUGGAGGGCUCUGUCCCCCUCGGCUCACCUCUUGGCAGAGUCGUCAGGGUAGGGAAGAGCAGGGGUGAGGGAGUAAAAUGGGGGCUGCCUUUGCCUUUGAGGGCUGGAGGCUGUGAGAGGCUAGAACCCAACUUUUUCUGGGGGCCUCAGGAAUCCCCUCUCUGCACCCUAAGGUGGCUCAGCCUUUUCCCCGGAGACAUGUGUGCCACUUGAUGACCCUGGAGCUGGGCUGGGCCCAAAUGUUGGCUGCACAAGCCAUUUCUGGGGGGCAUAGAGAACCCGGGAGUGAUCGGUAUUGGCUGCCGCUGGGCUAGCCUGGCCAGGCCCGUGGAGGGCCUCGACCAUCUCUGCUCCUUCUCUCGCUCUGGUCGCCUUGCCCCAGUUUAGGCUUCUUCCUGCCACUGCUGAGUACAGGCUUAGCAAUUUGCCACCUGCUGCUCCAGCCACCCAGGACUCUAGCCACAGCCCCGCCAUCGAUCAGGUUACCCCAGCAGCCCGGGCUGCCCCGGCUGCCGCUGCCAGCCAGCUCGUGCCCCCAUCUUCUCCAACGGGGGCUGCGGGUCCCACAGGCCCCUCCCAGGAGGCCCUCCCCGCCGGCCCGUGCCGAAGCCUGCGAGGCUGGAGGGCCCUGGCCCUGCCAGGGAGAUCAGAUCCUCUCGGCCACCUGCUGUUUUCAUUAGAAACUAAAAUUAGCUGGGCUUGUCCCAAGCUUUUCCAGGUUUGCUUGCUUUUUAAAAAAAAUAUACAAAUUCCUAGAGAAAAAUCCGCACCUCUGCGCCUCCUCUCAGCUCUUACCCUGCGCGUCAAGAGGAGAGGAGACGGGAAAUAGCUGGAGCGUUUGGGAGGCCAAGCAGAUCAGUGUCGUGGGUCCUGGCCCUGCGGGUAUCCAGGUGGGGGCUGGGACGCCAGCCCAGGCCUCUCUGCCCCCUCCCUCUGGCCUCCCUGCCUGCCUGGGCCACAUUUAGAGCCUCCUCAGAAGUGGCAGUGCCUGGGACACCAGGGAGGAAGGAGGCCAAGCAGGCGGGAGGAGGAGCCGGAAGGAGCCGGAGUGCCUGCCGAACAGUGAGCCGCCUGGGGAGACACGGCCGCGUGAAGGCAAGCAUGCCACGGGUCCCACCCAGGACCACGUUCUCUCCGGGGGUGGCCAGCACCUGGCUCCCCGGGUCCCCAUCACGCCCCUCAGCUGUUCUCCGGCCUCCGGAUGUUUCUGCACCCACGGUCUCCGAAUCCCGAGGCCCUGUCCUGGAGACCUAUCGUUUCGCACGGCCCACAGGGUGGCACACUGUGCGAGAGAGAUGGCAGACUGGGUCAGAAUCCCAGCUCUGUGUUCCCGGAGGCAAGUUAGCAAGCAUCUCUGAACCUCAGUGUCUUCAUCUGUAGAAUGGGGAGAAUAAUAGUUCUCACCUCAAGAGACGUCAACGGAUUAAAUGUUCACAUAGUAGCCACUGCUCCCCGGUUGGCAACAUUACCAAGUCCUAUUGAUCAUCACUGUGGUCAUUAAGGUGUUUACCAUCAUCACCUUCAUCAUCACUGCCACCUCAAAGCCCCCGCGCAGUCCCUCGAGCUGGGCCCUCUGCUGGACCGCAGAACAGUCCUGUUCACUGGUCUUCUUUUGCUCGGCUCUUUUAGACGGGGGUUCACCAGCCUGAGGGAAGGACACACCCCCACUGGGAAGGGCGGACACUUCGGCCUCCAUCCCCACCGCAGAGCUUGGACACAGCUUGCUCCGAUGGAGCACGCAGAGCUGAAGGAUGCUUGCCGGUGACCUGGGCCCACUGGUCGGACCCUCCAGGGACCAGGGGUCCAACAGGUGGGACACAAGUGGGUGCUUUAGGAGAUCAGAGGCUGGGGCACCGCGGUGAGGGGGCUAGGGACAGUGGGGUCCAGUGCAGGCUCAGUGUGCCUGGGGGACUUGGGAGCCCUUUGCGGGACAAGAUUGACAGGAAGGGAGGGACCUCAUGUCCCCUGUCACCUGUGCUCUUCAAACAACAGCCACAUGCUUUAAUAUAUCCUUAGUGCAGCCACACAGGGUUGGCCAGGACGGUAUCAUCCCCCUCCAUUUUACAGAUGAGGUUCCGGGAGGCAUGUGUUCAAGGCCAUGCAGCCAGUCAGGGCUGGGCAGCAUUUGAACACAGGUCAUUCUGGCUCCUAAGCCUGGGUUGGCGGAUGAGGCUCCAAAGAUGGUGUAGGGUAGUGACAAUGAUUUGAGGAAGGUGGCUUCAUUCUUCCAUUGCUGAGUCCUUCUGCGGUCCCAGGGCUUUUGGGGACCACAGCAAAGGCAUCUGCUCUGCUUUUAGGAACAAAGGAUACUGGGGAGGGAAGUGUCUCAGUGUGGGCAGCCUGGACGGCUUCUGGGGCCAUGGAAGGGGCUGCUGCUACUGGCCUGAAAGUCCUGGAGGGGCAGCCAGUAAGGAGGGGCCAGCCUUGGAGACACAGUGGCUGUAGGGGUGGUGGGCACAGCCUCCCCUCCACCUUCUCCCUGGCCUUGGGAGAACUCUGGAGUCCUCGGUGCCCAGGUCAAGUUCUCUUUGUCCCAAGUGCCUUUCCUCAGCUUGGGGCGGGGGGGGGGGGGAUGAUGGCCUUUCCUGGAGGCCAAGCCCCUACUCCUGUACCUCGGGGCACUAUUCCCCCUCCUCCUGUCUCCUGGGACCCCUCGCUUCCUUUGCUCUCCAUCCUCAGAAGCCUCAGCAGCCCCUGUUUUUGUCUUUUCACUUCCCAGUUUCCAUUGCUUUCCCACACCUGGUAGCCCAGCUCCUACAUUUCAUUCCUGAGGGCUUCCUGAGUGGGAGCCCCCCUCCCACUCACCAUCUCACAGUAUUUGUUCCUGGGGAGCCAGUGGCUGACUCAGGGCCGGCAAGUGGCCACUCAGACCUUAGCUGGAUGGCCCCAGAGCUGCACCAGAAGGUAGGAAUUUUCCUUCUCUCCGCAGGGCAGGUGUGAUUGUGGGGGUGAGUGGGCAUCAAAGUUGGGGCACUUCCUGACCUUGCCUUGCCUCCUGUUUGCCAGAAGAGAGCUUCUCCCUUGCAAAGACCCACCCGACGCUUGUCCCCCGAGUGCCUCUCUCGCCUUUGUAGCCACUGAAGCGUUCAUCCUCUCUAGCUCGGCUGAGGGAGCCCAGGGGGUGGGAGCGAGGAGGGGUGGCUGAAACCCCAGCUGAGCUGUCCAGGGCAGGAGCUGGCUUCCUAGAGUGGGGCUCACGCUCUGGUGGCUCCGGGUUGCUAGUGAGUUCCUUGGCUUUGGCAGAUCCCUUCUGAAGGCACCGUUUCCAGGAGAGCCUGUGGCCAAACCCGCGCCCCCAUCCCAACAAGGCAGCUAGGACAACUUUGGUUCCUUCCUCGCUCCAGUCGCUCAUAACCUGCAUAGAGGAUGACAGGCUAGGGUGUGGGGCUGCAGGGAAAGUCCUGGGAAGACAGUCAGGAGACCUGGGAUGCAGUUCCACCUCUAUCACUAAGGUGCUCUGUGGCCCCAAGAGCCCACCACAGUGCCUGGUGGGGCGAGUCUUGACAAGCAAGCAUUUGCCAUGACUGAAUGGGGCUUUCCAGGCAUGCCCCUGCUCGGAGGUUCAGGGUCCCUGCAAGGGUUGAAUGGGUAAUCUCCCGGGACCCUUCAAAUUCUGAUGGCCGUGACUUGGCCCUCGAUUCCCUGGCGUGCCAGGACCGCCAGGACCCAGACUCGAGAGGAAUGCCCUGCUGUUACCAGCCCUUGAGGAAGAGUUCCUGGAACCCAGUCCUGCCAUGAUAGGUCCCGUGUGUGAACAGAGUGAGAAAUAGGGUCUGAAAGAACCAUCCAGGAGUCACGGCAGGAAGAGGCCCCUGGAGUCUCAGCAGAAAUUUCCCGCUGCUUCUAAUGGGCCUCUCCAAAGUUCCCUUGUGAGCUGUGAGCUGCUAGCUGUUGGGGGGUUCCUUCCCUCCUUGAGCACAUGCCUCCCUCCUCCUACCCACCUUCCUCCCCUCUCUGCUCAGACCAGGUCCCCUCCACGGUGGGGUUUGUGACUUGGUCAGGGGAACUUUUAGAACGUAGUUUGGUUUAAAGUUUGCCAGGAGAUGGGGGAGGUGGGGAGGAGCUUGGAUGGGGAAAGGGGGAGCUGGUGGGGGUCACAGCAGGGAGCGAGCCUUCCCCUGGGUUUGGCUGGAUCACAGAAGACGCAGUUCAGGACUCAGAGAUAAAACCUGGCAACUCCUGAGGCCAUCUGGACCGCAACCAUGGGGUCGCGGCUUUGCCUUCCAGCUGAGUUUGCUGAGCAAACGGCAGCGGCUCUGGCAAGCUGGUUUGCAGUGGGGGUGACUGGAGGGGCCGGAGGGGCAGCUGUCACCCCCGUCCGCGGCUCCCUGGCCAACCCUGUGCCCAGUUGGCUCAGGCCAAGCCCUUCUUCCCAGAGGGAAGAACAAGAAAAGGAGGCUUGUCGUAAAUGCUCAGCUUUGCAAACGCACCCACAGGGCCCGAGUUGGGCGAGUUUCAACAGGUUUGGGGAACACUGUCUUGUCAGAUGCUUGCUGAGUUGCUCAAUUGCUAAUCCCAGGCUGAGGGAAGAAAGUCAAGCCAUAGCAGACAGCUGGGUGAUGACUGCCGCCUGAGUAAACCCCUCAGGCAGAGCCUGGUCUCCGGGCUCUGCCACGGAGGGUGAGGGGGAGAAAGGGCUUAGGCAGGAUCUGGGGAGGGGGGGGGGUGUGCACCCUGGCAGGGGAGCUACGGGGGCCAGAGUAGCAGAUCUGCUGGGUGACAGACAGCCACACUCCCUGACACUCACGUUGGCCCAUCUUAGCAUCACCUGAGACUCAGGGGGUUACAGUGGAGCUUCCCUCCUACUCGAGGUCUCUAAGAUCGGGCACCAUUUGACAAAAACUUACAGCCCUCUGGAGUGAACAAGCCUUUCCCCUUUUCACCCAUCAGAUAUUGACUGAGCACCUAAGCACACUUGACAUUCAGGUUUUAUAACCUCGUAGAAGUACAAAGCCACCCUACUGGACUGUAGUUACAUACAGUACGAAACUGUCCUAUAGGCAGGGGGAUAAAAACCAGGAGAUGGGGACAUGCGACAGCACGUCAAGCUCAAGUCCUGAUUCUGAUUUGCAGAAUGUCCUUGGGGAAGCAGCUGCACCUCUGGGCCUCGGAAGCAAGAUUGAAAAGAAUACAGACCCCUUGUUCCAAAAGUGGGAAGGGAGAGGUUACAUGGUUCUAAUAGGGUCAUGGGUGUGAAAGUGCUUCAUAAACCACUGAUUCUCAAUGGGGGGUAAUCUUGCCCCCCAAGGGGACAUUUGGCCAUGAGAAGCCAGGGAUGCUGCUGAACAUCAUACAACGCACCAGACAGGCCCAAAAUAUCAACGGUGCAGUUUGGGAAAUCCUGGCAUAAACUAUAAAGGGCUGUGGAUGCGUGCGUGAUUGAUCGGAUGCCCAGAGUCAGGGGAGGAGCACCAAGGAGGGGGGUUUACUAUCUAGAAGGAAGGGAGGGAUCCUUUAUAGCCAGGGAUCGGGAGGCUCUUCCUGGGGGAGAUGUGCCACACACCUUCACCUGUGGGACUGGCUCUGCCCACACCUGGCCCAGCGAGUUGCACCCAGAGUGUCAGGCCUCAGUCUGCUCAUGGUCAAGGAGGUCACCGGCUGUGGCCCCCCUUGCUGGGCAAAUAGGCACACGGGAGCUUGGACCAGAGAUGCACACCUGUGGGGAGUCAGAUGCAGUGAGGGUGAGAUGCUUCCCCCAGCCACCCUGAAGGGCGCUCCCGGACACAACUCCUCUGGCCACCAGGAUUUGCCUGUGAGCCGGGCCGGACCUCCCUGGCUUUGUGAGGCUCUUGCAGGAGCCCUGGUUGAAGAGCAGGGAGGCGGCAGCCGAUGAUCCUACCUGUGUGACCCGUGUAAGAGCACAGGAUCCCGACAGAGCAGUCUGGGGUAAACAGGGCUUGCGAGCAGCAGGCUGAAGGCUCAUUCUCUCCCUCAUCCCUAUAAACAAGGACACGACUCCCCCAUCGCACCAACAGCCGCCCUCCACCUCCAGCAGCAGCCAUGCCGGCCAUUCCCAGCGCACGUGCCUGGCACUGCGCUCGGUGUGCCAUGUGCACGAGCUCACACUUGCCUCACUACUGUCCAAGAGUGGGUGCCACUUAUAUACAGAUGAGGAACUUGAGGUUAAGUAACCUGUCUGUCGUCACUCAGCCGGUCAGCGGCAGACCUGGGAUGGACCUGCGGGCUGUCUUGGAGACCUGGUUCUUAGCCCCUCUGUUGGACUAUCUCUGAGUGUGGAACGACCCCCCCCCCCCCCCUCAUCUGGUCGGCCUCUGCUGGGGCUCCAGCCCGGUGCACCACUGCCCUUUCUUCAGGAAAUCCACAAUAACGAAGCCCUCGCCAAGCUAUUCCCUGACUCUUCCCAGUACUUUCAUUUGGAGUUCAGAGCUAUCUGCCGAGGACUGUGGCCCAGAGGGCAGGAGAGGCCCACCCAGAACCAGCCAGCUUGGGAGGCAGAGCCGGGACUGGAACCCCGGACUCUCAACUCCCAGCACACCCAGUGUCAGAGGGAACUUUCAGGGCCAUUUCUGAGCCCAUCUUUCAGAGACAGAGCCAGGCCUUUCGCCGACGGACUGUUUUCAUCUAUCCAUCCCUCCCUCGGUGGUGGGAGCUGCCACAAGCUGCCGGCUCGCCCGGGGUGCCAGACAUGAGUCUGAUCGGCAGCUUUCAGCUUCUCUGGGCUUGCCCGGGCCUCAGGCUGGGGAGCCCUCCCAGCUCCAGGCUCCGUCCUGCCUGACAGCUGCACGCAGUGGGACACCUGGCCUCCCCGGCAGGCCACCGCCCUUCUGAGACAACAGACAGCAUCGUCUCUCGCAACCGGCCAGCCAGCCGACCCUGGACUAAAGCCUGACUCCAGGUACUUGAACGGGAACGGACACCCAGGCUUUGCCCCUCUGAGAACAUUGCCAGCCGCCCUCUGGGGACCAGACCUCCACUGUGACUCACACUUGAAAAAAAUAGUGCCAGCCACCCUGCCUGGGUGGACAUCUGCCUGCCCACAGCUCUUCCUUCUAAAGGCAGCUUUUGGGUCAGGUGCCCCUGCCAUUUACUAACUAGGUGACUUUGGGCAGUGACCUCUGUGAUCCCCAGUCUUCCCAUCUGUGGAACGAGAUUCAGAUGUUGUCAGGAUUUAGAUAAUGCGCUGGGAGCGAUGACAAUACUGAUUACUACUAUUGUCGUGAUUCUGCCACCUCCAGGCCAAGUCCCCUCUGUGACUGCUCCAGCUCGCACCGAACCUUUCCUCUGAUGGCACUAGCAUGCACGCUGCCCCACCCAUUCGUGUUUUUGCUUCUGUCCCGUCCUUCUAGACCCCAAGGUCCUUGGAGACCAGGCUGUGAGUGGGCUCAGUCCCUGUCUCAGGGAUGGAGGUUGAUAAAUACAAGACGAAAGACCCCGUCUUGGAAUGUG